AUUGAACGCUAGCGGGAUGCCUUACACAUGCAAGUCGAACGGAGUGGCGGACGGGUGAGUAAUAUCUCGGAACGUGCCCAGUAGCGGGGGAUAACUACUCGAAAGAGUGGCUAAUACCGCAUACUAUGGGAGCGGCCGAGAUCGGAUUAGCUAGUUGGGGGGGUAAAGGCUCACCAAGGCGACGAUCCGUAGCUGGUUUGAGAGGACGACUAGCCACACUGGGACUGAGACACGGCCCAGACUCCUACGGGAGGCAGCAGUGGGGAAUAUUGCACAAUGGGGGAAACCCUGAUCCAGCCAUGCCGCGUGUAUGAUGAAGGCCUUCGGGUUGUAAAGUACUUUUGGCGGAGAAGCGGUAUCUGCAGAAUAAGCACCGGCUAACUCCGUGCCAGCCGCCGCGGUAAUAC
rnacentral:rRNA from 1 species